GGGGAAUAUUGCGCAAUGGGGGAAACCCUGACGCAGCGACGCCGUGUGAGGGAAGAAGGCUUUCGGGUCGUAAACCUCUGUCGGGAAGGAAGAACCCCCCAGGUCCGAAUAGGGCCUGGGGCUGACGGUACUUCCAAAGGAAGCACCGGCUAACUCCGUGCCAGCAGCCGCGGUAAUACGGAGGGUGCAAGCGUUAAUCGGAAUCACUGGGCGUAAAGCGCGCGUAGGCGGCUUUUUAAGUCGGACGUGAAAGCCCUCGGCUCAACCGUAGUGAGCCUCUGAAACUGGUGAACUUGAGUGUAGGAGAGGAAAGUGGAAUUCCCAGUGUAGCGGUGAAAUGCGUAGAUAUUGGGAGGAACACCAGUGGCGAAGGCGACUUUCUGGACUACAACUGACGCUGAGGCACGAAAGCGUGGGGAGCAAACA
rnacentral:rRNA from 1 species